UCACAUUGAUUCGACCAUUUUUUUGUAAUCGCCGGGAAAGUUUUUCAAUACUCGCACGGAUUCUUCCUUUUCCCGGUACUCUUCCGGAUUCUACUAUUUUUUGGUACUUACACUGAUUCGACCCUUCUCCGGUACUCGUCAGGACAAUUUUUCGAUACUCGCAUGGAUUCUACCUUUUCCCGGUACUCGCCCGGAUUCUAUCAUUUUUCGGUACUCACAUUGAUUCGACCAUUUUUUUGUAAUAGCCGGGAUUGGUUUUCGAUACUCGCACGGAUUCUACCUUUUCCCAGUACUCACCCGGAUUCUACUAUUUUUCGGUACUCACACUGAUUCGAGCCUUUUCCGGUACUCGAUAGGACAAUUUUUCGAUACUCGCAUGGAUACUUCCUUUUCCUGGUACUCGCCCGGAUUCUAUUAUUUUUCGGUACUCACAUUGAUUCGACCAUUUCUUUGUAAUCGCCGGGAAAGUUUUUCAAUACUGCACGGAUUCUUCCUUUUCCCGGUACUCUUCCGGAUUCUACUAUUUUUCGGUACUCACACUAUUGACCCUUUUCCGGUACUCGUGAGGACAAUUUUUCGAUACUCACAUGGAUUCUACCUUUUCCCGGUACUCGCCCGGAUUCUAUCAUUUUUCAGUACUCACAUUGAUUCGACCAUUUUUUUCUAAUCGCCGGGACAGUUUUUCAAUACUCGCACGGAUUCUUCCUUUUCCCGGUACUCUUCC
rnacentral:lncRNA from 1 species